rnacentral:lncRNA from 10 species
CUUCAACAUCACCAUUGUACCAGAAGUGGAGGAGAGGGAAAACCUCUCUGAAACAAGGUGGCGAGAUAUCUGUAUGGGAGCUCUGGAAAGUUUAUCAGCUGUGCAAGAUGUUUACACAUUUCUGAAUGCAAAAGUUUCAGUUCCUGGGAAAGAAGAUUAGGCAGUGACACAUUCUCAGCAAGACUCAUAUGAUUCCUUGGGAGUUCUGAAGAUGCGAUGACGCUUUAGAUCUGUGUCACGUUGGAACAAGAGGGUCUGGAUUCUGUAUCUCCACAUGACCUAGUCAUUGGAUUGAGGCUACUUAGAAAAAGAGAUAGACUUCUGGGCAAAUCAAUUAUCGAAGAGGGUUUACAGGUGGGAACUGCCUGUCAGCAACAUCAGCUGCAGCUGCGAAUACAAGCCCUUCAUUCCCGAAUGGGGAUCUGGGUAAUAUAUCACGGCCUUCAUUCUAUUCCACUUAAUCUUCAUAUAGUUCUCAAACAUUAUAACUGAUCUCCAAAUUAUUUUUGAAACUACCUAAGAUUUUCCAGGCAGUAAGCAUGGAAAAUGACCCACCAAAGAUGUCCACAUCCUAAUCCUAGGGACCUAUGUUAAUUUAUAUGGCAAAGGGAAUUUACAAAAGUAAUUAAGCUUAAAGAUUAUCCUGGAUUAUAAAGACAAAAUUUCUUAUAUUUGGUUUCUUAUAUGACUGAAAGUGAUACGGGUGACUUGAAAUCAGAAAAGGAGAUGUAACCACCGAAGCAGAGAUGAGAAUGAUGCUGUUGCUGGCCUUGAAGAUGGAAGGAGGCCAUGAACCAAGCAAUGUAAUCAGUCUCCAGAACCUCUAAAGGACAAGGGAAUGGAUUAUUUCCUGGAAGCUCCAGAAGGGAAUGCAGCCCAGGCAACACUUUGGUUUUAGCUCUGUGAGACCCACUGUGGACUUUGGAACUCUAAGACAAGACACUUGUAUUGACUUAGCCCACCAAAUUUGUGGUAAUUUCUUACAGCAACAAUAGGAACCUAAUACACACACCAAGAGUAGCUUUUCAUCUUUCAGUACUCUGUUUUUCCAUCAUGUCCUACUUAUUAAACUCUCAUGCUUCAUUCUUCCCAGUCCAAUCUAAAUCAACCCUGUUUACUCAUGUUAGCAAAACAUCAAGCUUCAUCCUUGGGCCUUUGAAAAAUAGGUGAGGGAAGGAUAAGAUAUUUGGGGUAGUUUUGUCAAAAUCUCACAGGUUUUAUGCAGGUAUCUCACAAAUGUGAACAACAUCCAUAAUAUAUAUUGUUGGAGGGGGUGCAAAUAAAGUGUUAUUUAAUACAUUCAUCCAUUCAAGAGGAAUUUGUUAUAUCUAUACUAUAUGCCAGAAUCUAUACCAGACAAAGAAGAUACAAAUUAGGCCAAAUAGAAAUAUAAUUACAGCUUUAGUAUCUAUUGGAGAAACCAAGAAUCUUUAAAUGCCUGUCAUAGUACAAGAAUAACAAAUGUUAUAUAUAGAAGUAGAUCAUGCUAUGAAUAUCAAUAACAAGGGAAUUUGUCACAAAAAAGCAGGACAGCUUAAAAGAGGAAGUGAGGAUUAAACAAAGACCUGCCAGAAAAUGAGGAGUUAGAUAGGUAAUGAAGUAAUAAGAGAGUGUUCCAAGGAAGAGGCAUGUUAAAGAUUCUGAUCUUUAUUCUAAUGCUAAUAAGAAAAUACUGAUGUCUUUAAAAUAGGGAGGGGCAUGAUUAUACAUGCAUUGUGAGAAGCUCAUUCUAGUCUAGCUGGAGGGAUCAGAAUAAUAAGAGACUAAUUAGGAAACAAUUUUAAAAAUCAAAAAUUGCAUUAUAAUAGUUGUGCUAGGAUGGUGGUGGUAUUCAGGAAGAUAGGAGGAGGCUAGCGGUUGAAUACAGAUAUUUGCAAUCUUUGGUGGUAGAGAGAAGACACCCAGCACUACGCUUGUUCCGUUCCCUCCCUGGGAUGCACUUCCCUGUCUUCUUUACCCUCCCCUCAUCCAUUAUGGGCUGACCUGUGCAGAUCACAUCAAUGACUCUCUUGUCUUUUGUUUCUGACUGGGUCCAGUUAAUAGAAAGCAUCAAUAGGAAAACCAAGGAUUUAAGACAAUCAGGUAUGUCUAUUUAUUCCUCUGAUUACCACGCUGCAGGGUCACCUUGGAAGGCUGCAUUCUCAACCAAA